rnacentral:rRNA from 1 species
UGGGGAAUUUUGGGCAAUGGGCGAAAGCCUGACCCAGCAACGCCGCGUGAGGGAGGAAAUCCUUCGGGAUGUAAACCUCGCAAGCAAGGGAAGACAGCUAGAGAUUUAAUAAAUCUCUAGUCCGACGGUACCUUGCGUAAGCCACGGCUAACUACGUGCCAGCAGCCGCGGUAAUACGUAGGUGGCAAGCGUUGUUCGGAUUUACUGGGCGUAAAGGGCGCGUAGGCGGCAAUUCAAGUCAUCUGUGAAAUCUCCGGGCUUAACUCGGAACGGUCAGAUGAUACUGCUUUGCUAGAGUGCAGAAGGGGCAAUCGGAAUUCUUGGUGUAGCGGUGAAAUGCGUAGAUAUCAAGAGGAACACCUGAGGUGAAGACGGGUUGCUGGGCUGACACUGACGCUGAGGCGCGAAAGCCAGGGGAGCAAACGGGAUUAGAUACCCAGGUAGUCCCUGAGCGGGCUGGCAAGGCGCAU